rnacentral:lncRNA from 1 species
AAUUUUAAGGUGGAAGUUGUAGAAAUCAAACAUAAUUGAAAUUUCUCUAUGUACCAAGUCAAAUGACCACUUCUUCCACCUUGAAUAACUUUUUCUAUGAGGUUCAAAUAGAAAUCGUUCCUUCAUAAAAGUUGUAUCUAUUUCAUCCCUCUUAAAUUUGGUCAUAAAUUAGACCUCAUUUAGAUUUGGCAUGAGGGAGUUAUGCAUUUUAGAAGUUGAGAAAAAU